rnacentral:rRNA from 1 species
AGUGAACGCUGGCGGCAGGCCUAACACAUGCAAGUCGAGCGGCAGCGCGGGGGCAACCCUGGCGGCGAGCGGCGGACGGGUGAGGAAUUCGUCGGAAUCUGCCUUUUUGUGGGGGAUAACGUAGGGAAACUUACGCUAAUACCGCAUACGUCCUACGGGAGAAAGUGGGGGACCGCAAGGCCUCACGCAGAAAGAUGAGCCGACGACCGAUUAGCUAGUUGGUGGGGUAAAGGCCCACCAAGGCGACGAUCGGUAGCUGGUUUGAGAGGAUGAUCAGCCACACUGGGACUGAGACACGGCCCAGACUCCUACGGGAGGCAGCAGUGGGGAAUAUUGGACAAUGGGCGCAAGCCUGAUCCAGCCAUGCCGCGUGUGUGAAGAAGGCCUUCGGGUUGUAAAGCACUUUUGUCCGGAAAGAAAUCCCUGGAGCUAAUACCUUCGGGGGAUGACGGUACCGGAAGAAUAAGCACCGGCUAACUUCGUG